rnacentral:misc_RNA from 1 species
UCCGGUUUGUCACCGGCAGUCUCCUUAGAGUGCCCAACUGAAUGCUGGCAACUAAGGACAAGGGUUGCGCUCGUUGCGGGACUUAACCCAACAUCUCACGACGCGAGCUGACGACAGCCAUGCACCACCUGUCAUGGGCCCUUUCGGACACCGUAUCUCUACGGCUUUUCCCAUGAUGUCAAACCCAGGUAAGGUUCUUCGGGUCGCAUCGAAUUAAGCCGCAUGCUCCGCCGCUUGUGCGGGGACCCGUCAAUUCCUUUGAGUUUUAGCCUUGCGGCCGUACUCCCCAGGCGGGGAACUUAAUGCGUUAGCUGCGACACGGAAGCCGUGGAAUGGCCCCCACAUCUAGUGCCCACCGUUUACGGCGUGGACUAC